rnacentral:tRNA from 1 species
AUUAUUUUGGCAGAUUAGUGCAAUGAAUUUAGAAUUCAUAGAUGUAAUAUUUUACAAAUAAUA